GUCCAGACUCCUACGGGAGGCAGCAGUGGGGGAUAUUGGACAAUGGGGGAAACCCUGAUCCAGCGACGCCGCGUGAGUGAAGAAGUAUUUCGGUAUGUAAAGCUCUGUCAGCAGGGAAGAAAGAAAUGACGGUACCUGACCAAGAAGCCCCGGCUAACUACGUGCCAGCAGCCGCGGUAAUACGUAGGGGGCAAGCGUUAUCCGGAAUUACUGGGUGUAAAGGGAGCGUAGACGGUUAUGUAAGUCUGGAGUGAAAGCCCGAGGCCCAACCCCGGGACUGCUUUGGAAACUGUGUAACUGGAGUACAGGAGGGGCAGGCGGAAUUCCUGGUGUAGCGGUGAAAUGCGUAGAUAUCAGGAGGAACACCGGCGGCGAAGGCGGCCUGCUGGACUGAAACUGACGUUGAGGCUCGAAAGCGUGGGGAGCAAACAGGAUUAGAUACCCCGGUAAAC
rnacentral:rRNA from 1 species